UUUAGACAUACAAAAACUUGUUGAAUCUCAUACUAUGGAUAUUAUUGAUGGUGCCCAUUUGAUUUCUGAAGAAGGUCUGGACCUAUGGAUUCAGCAUUUUGCACCAGCUACAUAGGGAGAAGUUAACACUUUCAAAAUUGACAUUCCAGCUCCUAGCUGUAAGGAGAUAAUGUUGGGCCUGGACAAAGAAAAUGAGGGCAUUAGCCCUGCUGCUCACUCCUCUAGUGGAGCUGGAAGUCCAUUAAAACAAGUGUCUCUUAAUAAGGUGAUAAAUCUGCCUCCAGGAGAAGCUGUCUCAAAGAAAAGAAGGGACAAAGAGCGUCUGGUGGAAACUGAGGUAUCUGAGGAAGAACUAUAGGAGAAGCUUUCAAAAAGGCCCAAGAAGAAAUGUCAGGAGGAUGUGGCCAAGGUUUCCAAGGCCACUGGAGCUACAAACCCCUCCAAGAUUGUGCAAUGAUGUGGUCACAACUUAGUAGCAAUCACAGGGUAGUAAUAAUGAUUAUGUCUAGUUUGGUUGGUGGAUGCAAGAUGUGUGAUGUGGUUACUGAUUUCAGAACAUGUAACAUGUCUGAUUAUGAGACAGGGUGGCUUCUUUUGUAUCAUGGUCUUUUGUUCACUAAGUUUCAAUCCGGGAACUGUUGCUUGUAUGAGGAUGCCGGAACUGCUCUGAUUUCUUUUGGAAAUGCUAUGUCACAUCUUCUCA